rnacentral:rRNA from 1 species
GAUGAACGCUGGCGGCGUGCCUAAUACAUGCAAGUCGAGCGAACAGAUAAGGAGCUUGCUCCUUUGACGUUAGCGGCGGACGGGUGAGUAACACGUGGGUAACCUACCUAUAAGACUGGAAUAACUCCGGGAAACCGGGGCUAAUGCCGGAUAACAUUUAGAACCGCAUGGCUCUAAAGUGAAAGAUGGUUUUGCUAUCACUUAUAGAUGGACCCGCGCCGUAUUAGCUAGUUGGUAAGGUAACGGCUUACCAAGGCAACGAUACGUAGCCGACCUGAGAGGGUGAUCGGCCACGCUGGAACUGAGACACGGUCCAGACUCCUACGGGAGGCAGCAGUAGGGAAUCUUCCGCAAUGGGCGAAAGCCUGACGGAGCAACGCCGCGUGAGUGAUGAAGGUCUUCGGAUCGUAAAACUCUGUUAUUAGGGAAGAACAAAUGUGUAAGUAACUGUGCACGUCUUGACGGUACCUAAUCAGAAAGCCACGGCUAACUACGUG